UAGGGAAUCUUCCGCAAUGGGCGAAAGCCUGACGGAGCAACGCCGCGUGAGUGAUGAAGGUCUUCGGAUCGUAAAACUCUGUUAUUAGGGAAGAACAAAUGUGUAAGUAACUAUGCACGUCUUGACGGUACCUAAUCAGAAAGCCACGGCUAACUACGUGCCAGCAGCCGCGGUAAUACGUAGGUGGCAAGCGUUAUCCGGAAUUAUUGGGUGUAAAGCGCGCGUAGGCGGUUUUUUAAGUCUGAUGUGAAAGCCCACGGCUCAACCGUGGAGGGUCAUUGGAAACUGGAAAACUUGAGUGCAGAAGAGGAAAGUGGAAUUCCAUGUGUAGCGGUGAAAUGCGCAGAGAUAUGGAGGAACACCAGUGGCGAAGGCGACUUUCUGGUCUGUAACUGACGCUGAUGUGCGAAAGCGUGGGGAUCAAACAGG
rnacentral:rRNA from 1 species